rnacentral:lncRNA from 1 species
GAGACAGAGUCUUGCUCUGCUGCUCAGGCUGGAGUACAAUGGUGCAAUCCCAGCUCAUCACAACCUCCAUUCACUGCAACUUCUGCCUCCUGGGUUCCAACAAUUCUCCCACCUCAACCUCCCGAGUAGUUGGGAUUAUAGGAGCGCAUCACCACACCCUACUAAUUUUUGUAUUUUUAGUACAGACUAGGUUUUGCCGUGAAGGCUGGGCUGGUCUCGAACUCCUGUCGUCAAGUGAUCUGCCUGCCUUGGACUCCCAAAGUACUACUAUUACAAGCAUGAGCCAUUGUGCCUGGCCCAUAAUGAUCAUCUUAAUCUCAUUCUUGAUAUCAAGAGGAAAGUUUUCAAUACUUCACUAUUACGUAAUAUUGGCUGUGGAGUGUUCUGUUGAUAACCUUUGGACAGAUUAAGGAAGUUCUAUUCUAUUCCUCCUUUGCCAAAAGUUUUUUUUAAUCAUUUAUAGUGCUAAAUUUUAUCAAAAUUGUUGCUGCAGCUAUUACUUUAUUCUGUUAAUGGUUUUACUUUAACAGAGGUUUUACUUUAUUUUGUUAAUCAUAUUGACUGAUUUUUAAAAUUUAAACCAACCUUGCAUUCCUAGAAAAAAAUCUAAAUUAGUCAUGAUGUAUUACCAUUUUGCAUAUAUCAUUGGCUUUGGUUUGCUAUAAUUUUGCUCAGUAUUUUUGCAUGAAUGUUCAUGAUGAACAGAAGUUUUCCUUCUUUUUUUGUUUUUUGAGACAGAGUCUCGCUGUCACACAGGCUGGAGUGCACUGGUGUAAUCUUGGCUCACUACAACCUCCACCUCCCAGGUUCAAGCAAUUCUUGUGCCUCAGCCUCCCAAGUAUCUGGGACUACAGGCAUGUGCCACCAUGCCCAGCUUAUUUUAGUAUUUUUAGUAGAGACAGGGUUUUGCCAUGUUGCCCAGGCCGGUCUCAAACUCCUGAGCUCAAGUGAUCCCUCCACCUCGGCCUCCCAAAGUGCUAGGAUUACAGGUGUGAGCCACCACACCCAGACAGAAGUUUUCAAUUUUAAUGUAAUAAAAUUACACUAAAUUAUUGUUUCCCUUACUUAUAAUGCCCUUGGCAUGUAAUGUGAUCAAUGUUAUGCUGAGAUCAUAAAAUAAGUCUACGUAUUUAUUUCUUCUCUAUUCUCUGAAAAAGCUUCUCCAACUUCUUUUCUUUGUUUGUUUUUUGUUUUUCUUAAAUGUUUCACAGAAUUUACCAUUGAAGCCAUCUAGGUCUGGAAUAUUCUUUGUAGAAAAGAUUCAAUUAUUUUAUUUCCUUAAUAGGACUACUCAAGUUUUCUAUUUCUUCUGUCUGUUUUGGUAAGUUAAACUAAUGUGACGUCUCUGUCAAAGAAACUCUGGGAAUUAUUCUAGUAAUCACUAUGCAUAACAUCAAAAUGAUUAGUUCUAAUAACAUAUGAACCUUUUUAUUUACUCACAUUUCAUAUUUCCUAGCACUUGUUAUCUUAAAAAAUGUCAAAUCUAUUAUUUCAUUCACUAUUUGUUCAAAGUAAAAAUUAACAAUCAUUAAAACUUGUCCCAAGCAGUAUAAAUCUUUCAUCAGACUUCUGGCUGUUAUAACAAAACACUCUGUUGGAGAAGAUAUGUAAUUUUCAGGGGUGUCCAACCUUUGGGCUUCCCUGGGCCACAUUGGAAGAAGAAUUGUCUUGUCUUGGGCCACACAUAAAAUACAUUAACAUUAACGAUAGCUGACGAGCUAAAAAAACUGUUUUAGGGCCCGGAAUGGUGGCUCACACCUGUAAUCCCAGCACUUUGAGAGGCCGAGGUGGGUGGAUCACCUGAGGUCAGGA